GAUGAACGCUGGCGGCGUGCCUAAUACAUGCAAGUCGAGCGAACAGAUGAGGAGCUUGCUCCUCUGACGUUAGCGGCGGACGGGUGAGUAACACGUGGAUAACCUACCUAUAAGGCUGGGAUAACUUCGGGAAACCGGAGCUAAUACCGGAUAAUAUAUUGAACCGCAUGGUUCAAUAGUGAAAGACGGUUUUGCUGUCACUUAUAGAUGGAUCCGCGCCGCAUUAGCUAGUUGGUAAGGUAACGGCUUACCAAGGCAACGAUGCGUAGCCGACCUGAGAGGGUGAUCGGCCACACUGGAACUGAGACACGGUCCAGACUCCUACGGGAGGCAGCAGUAGGGAAUCUUCCGCAAUGGGCGAAAGCUUGACGGAGCAACGCCGCGUGAGUGAUGAAGGUCUUCGGAUCGUAAAACUCUGUUAUUAGGGAAGAACAAAUGUGUAAGUAACUAUGCACGUCUUGACGGUACCUAAUCAGAAAGCCACGGCUAACUACGUG
rnacentral:rRNA from 1 species